rnacentral:lncRNA from 1 species
GAGUUGUUGAAGAGAAGACAUGUUAUUCACUACUUAUUAUCUGUUAAGAAAACUGUGAAAAGCUUAAAGGCCCAGUUAAAGUGGAAGCUGUUUGAAAAGAGCAAAUUUUAUGGUGUUGGAAUUUUUGUCCGUAUUGUUCAGAUGGUUUAAGAAACAUUAAUUUUGUCUAUUCCAAGUAAGAGGCGAUGAUGUAAAACAGUUUGUGUCUUCUGAAUUAAAUUUUGCCUUUAAAUGUGGAAGCUUUACAGGCCCCUGAGACCAAGCUUGAAUGGUUUAAAAAACAAAACAACCCUCCACUAACCAACCACAAAGGAAAAAAAAAGUACACAGACUUUUCUGUUUCAGUCUCUAGCCAUCAUGUUGUGCUGUGCUUUUAACCAAUUCCCUCUGGUGACAGGUGCUGUUCACAGCAUGAACAGUUUUUGUCCAACUCCUUCUAUUGUGCUGGUUGCUUUUAACUUUGUUGAUAAUGUGUGUGUCUUCUCCUUGCUGACAGAAGUCAGAGUCUGUUCCAGCUUUCAGGAUUCCCUGCUAUUCCUCAGAGAGCUUCAAAGAAGGAUGAUAAAGUUAAACCUCUUCUCCUGAAUUUGUUCUGCUGUAGCAGACUGAUGCUGAGCAGGCGCUGAGGAAUGAUUGCCUCCUCACAGCUGAUGUGAUUCCAGUUUCACUGCACCCAGGUGAAGAGUAGGAGCUGCAUAAAAAACAAAAUUCUGAGACAACAGAUUGAAAAAAAGUGAUUAACUGAGGAGAAUGGAGCAAACCCUACUCAAUAGAUGAAAGCUUUUCCAUCAGGUGUUUGAGACUUCUGUUUUGAAAUAAUUGACCUGGUCUGAAAUAUCAAAGUAUAAAAGGUUUGGUAGGUGUAUUAAUUUUUUGAGAUUAUACAGGCUUCACUAUGUUUUCUUUUCAGUAUAUUUUAUUCUAAUUAAGUAUUUGGAGUUGUAAUUGUGAUUUUACUGGUUGCAUUCUUGGUUUGCCAGCCUUUUUCUUUACCCAUAUGUAGAUUUUACAUUUACAGAGACCAGGGCUGUUAGAUGCCAGAGAUUUUUAAGAGGAAACUUGAGUGAGUUGGUUUUUUGAGUUUUCUCUCCUUCAUGCUCUAAAUCCAGAUAACAUAUUCCUCUUAAAGAUGUUCUAGUAUAUUACUUUUUUGCUAAAGAUUUGUUUUAAUUGCAUAGAUCAGUUGUUCUUACAGUAACUGCCUCCAGGAUUUAAGUAAACACCUUAAUAUAUUGCUUUGGAAACUGGUAAAAGAAAUGGUGAGCACCCUUCCUCUUUUCUUUUUGCCUUUGAAAUAUGCAAUUGGCUUUCUAGAGAGCAGCCAUCCUUCUAGUUACUUCUUUGCUGUGCUGCUGCCAACCAAAAUAUUCUACACACACCUUUGCAAAACCUAUUGUUUACUUGCUCUGUGUGCAUGUAUCACCUGCUAUAAAAUAUAUUUUUUUGCAGUAGCUAUGAGGGUGUGAUUUUCAUGAGUGGGUUUGUUUGGUUGCAACACUUGACUGUUGAUAUUUCUGUUGAAAAAUUCUGUCAGCUCUUUAUCUGUACAGGAAAUUAUUAUUUAUCUUUAGGAAGGUUUUCUUUCUUCUCAGGAAGGAGCGGGUCAGAGUGUGCAGCGUUGCUGUAGCAGUAUAUUUAGCCUCUGGGUGUUGCUCUUGGACAGCACUGUUGGCAGACUGCUAUUUUGCAGACUUACUGAAGCUGAUGGUAUUGGAUGAAGAAUGUCAAAAUGCAGCAUGUAACAGGCAAGCAGCAGCACCAGGGGAACUGGGGAGCCCCCAGGUACAAUAAUACAGUCCACAGCAGGUAGAAGAUACCCUUGCAGACUCAUGUUUGACAUUAUUCUUGGUUUUUUAUCCUUAAACCAAAAUUAGAUUUUUUUUUUUAAGUGGAAUAGGGUGUAAGAUGCUCAUCCUCUUUUCACUGUAUGAUGCUGAUUUUUUGAUUUCUGUAAAGUGUACCUAACCAAAGACAGUAAAAUACUGGAAGUAUUUUUAUGACAUACAAAGUAUUUUUAUGUAGAAUUUUUGGGUAAUGUGAUAAAUAUUUUCAUUACAGAAAUCACAGAAGAAUAAUAGCUUGUCAAUUUUGUCAAUAAACAUUUAAGAAGUUUUGUGGAAUGCUUUCCA